AUGCAUGCACACAUAUUUGGGGACAUUCAUAGGUGUAUUAAUGGUCUUGACACUUCAGCGUGUGAAGAUAGGGCCGUGGGGUGGAACUGGAGGCCAUGCUUGGGAUGAGGGAGGCCAUGGUGCCAGUGCUGGCGGUUACACCGGUGUACGCCGAAUGAGUAUAGGGUCUUCCUGGUGUGUCAGCUCAAUGUUGUUUGAAUACGACGACAAUGGCAAACGUGUGAAAGGUACCCUGCAAGGAGAGGGAGGCAAUGGAAUACCCGAGGAGCUCGACUUCCAUGGGGAGGUGUUGACGCACAUGUGCGGCUACCAUGACAACCACCUCAUCCGGUGGUUGCAGUUCAGGAGCAACCGGAACAGGACGUUCGGACCAUACGGCAAUCUUGGAGAAGACAAAGCUGGAUGGACGCGGUUCGAGGUCUCCAUGGAGCACUCGGGGUCCAUCGUCGGCUUCUGCGGCCGGAGUGGCAACUUCACGGACUCCAUCGGCGUUUACGUCGCCGUCUGGAAUCCCGAGAGGUUCUAUGAUAGCAUGCGCAGGCAGGGCGUCCGCGUUUACCGGGCGUCGCCUCUGCGCAUGGACCUGCGUCAAAUAGAAGAAGAGAAAAAGAAGGAAGAAGUGGAACGUGGGCGCCUACAGAAGGAGAUCAAGGAGGGGCGAGAAAGUCUUCGGAAGUUACGAUUGAAGCUUGGAGUGGAUGUGCCGCAGCAGGAUCAGGAAAUCGUGCAGCAACUGGAACGCGGGCGUCAGGGAAAACGCCAGACAAUAGAGGAGCUGCAAGUGGAGCAUGAGCAACUGGAACGGGAACGAGGGCGCUUGCUUCUACUGCUGCAAGUGGAGCAUGAGCAACUGGAACGGAAACAAGGGCGCUUGCUUCUACUGCAGAAACACCUAGGGGAGGAGUUACGCCAGUGGGAGAACGGGCUUUACCGAUAUUUUGGUAGGAGCAGUCCCGGUUAUUUUUUUUUCUCAAAUAAAUAUCCCCAAUCAUAUUCCCAAAUCAUCCCCAAAUUAAAGUAGCAUCACAUAU
rnacentral:lncRNA from 1 species